UGGUCUCGAACUCCUGACCUCAGGUGAUCCGCCCGCCUCAGCCUCCCAAAGUGCUGGGAUUACAGGCAUGAGCUACCAUGCCUGGCCAUUUUUUUUUUUUUUUUAACAGCUUUAUGAUAAGCUAUAGGCUUAUAAUUCUGCUCCUCCAAACAAUACUUUUCUCUGGAAAACAAGCCCUGUGGACGCUCCAUCCUUCCAUCAAGUUCCUUCCCUCAAGUUGCUUCAGUUUAAUUUAUUUCUACAGGACCAGUACAUGCAGAAGGCAACUACAGGGGAUGAAAAGUUCAAAAAGUAGAUUCUACAACCCUAUGGCUUGGUAUCCAAAUAUCUGGAGAAGUAUGUGAGUUCAUGGAAGAAGAGAAAGCACACUUUUCUCCAGAUAUCUGGAAACCAAGCCAUAGGGCCGUUCUCUGCAGGCGACCAUCUUACUGGAAAAUCAGGGGCUGAGCAAGCCCAGGCAGCCGUGCACAGAUAUCCAGUCCUGGAAGUCAGAGCUGUGGUGCGGGGGCUUGCCAGGUUCCUACUCUCCCAUGUCACAGGUGAGAAAGCUGAGGCCCGGAACGGGGAAGAAACUGAUCCAUGGCCACACAGUGAGAGGCAGCAAGGCCAGAGCCCACCUGGCCGCCACGGCCCUCAGGCAGUGCCCUGCUCACUGUGGGGUGACCCCUGCGUGUCGGCAACUACAGGAAAAAAACAGCCACCGGGCAUAUGUGCAGCCUGUCACAUAUACCACAUAUUGGGGAAGGAGAAGCUGGAACAUGUGGUCGGGGGUGGGGAUAUCUACCUAUAUUUUUUAAAUUUUGAUAAUGAUGCCAUCAAGUCUGCUUGUCUGCAUAACUGUUUUUUAAAAAAGAAUUGAUAUUUUCAGUACUUUCUUAUAAAUAUACUUGUAAUAUGAUGUAACAGCCCAGUUACUGGUGCUUCCAAGCGCAAAUGCAAUCUCCUUUGCUUGAAGGAGAGCCAGGUGAUUGUUCUUAUGGCUUUAGUUUCUAGCCUCUUUAACAGCCAUGCAGAGCUUUCAGGUGCUGCUUGAAAAGGUGGUGCUGUGGCACGUGUGUGUAUGUGUGUGUGUGUCUUGUUCACCUGUCUCCAAAAUGAAAGGGGUCUUAGAGUUGAGAAGAAUUGGUACUGUCAUGGCCCAACACAGGGUGUGUGUGUGCGUGUGUGUGUGUGUCAGAGAGAGAGAGAGAGGAGGGCAGGGGAGGAGGGAGAGAGAACCACCCGUGGGUCGGUUGAUGAAUUGGUUAUCCCUGCUUACCUGUCCGCCCCACCCUUUUCUUAACCCAUUUUCUGUCUGUGGCAAGGCACAUGCAGCACCCAGAGGGUGUUUAAAAAGAAGAGCUGGGAGUGAGUGGGAUGGACAGGUACUGACAGCACAUAAAGCCAGGACCCUGGGAGGUGCUCAGUGGUGGCAGGACAGAGGGAACACUGACAAGGGAGACAAUGUGCUCCCUUUGGUGCUCGUGGAUGCGUGACCCCCUUGGGUGGCACUUUGCAGCCUCGCUUUGUGUAAUUCCCCCACAGACACCUGCCCCCAGGGUCUGACACUAUUUUACCCCCAUGUUUGAGGUGGAACACUGAGGCUUAAAGAUAUAAAGACCCUUGCUCAUGCUGAAGUGGGUCCAAACCCACAAUAUGGAGCAAUGAGGACCCCAAAGCCCAGGCUGGAGGGGGGCUUGAGGCUGCUUCUACCAGUUUGUAGUCUCUGUAGCCUCUGGGAAUGGAGUUCCCUGGGCAAGCAGGCAGAACUCUGCCCAUCAGCUUGCCUGGGACAUGGCCAGAGUGGAGCAUCCAUAUGUUUCCCUGAGGGACUGGCCCUCAGCUCUGAGAUGAGUCGCCACCAGCAGCACAUUCCCCUGGGCCAUCUAUCGUUAUCUUCACGUGCUCACCUGGAAGAUGAGCCCCUCUAAUGUCUCACAAUGAGGUCCUCAGUCAUGAAUGAUGGAACUCCACACCCCCAAUGCCCAGCACAGGAUAAGAGCUUCGGCUGUGGUUUGUUGAAUUACAUUAAAAACCCCAAGGCAAAUGUGUUUCCUGACACCCAACUCCCUUCCAGAGGAAAUGGGUCAUAGAUGACCUGACCCAAUUCCAUCUCUCAGGCCCCGUUUGCCUCGGGCAGGUGGCUGGAGUUCCCUGCAGGGACCAGGGGUUCAAAGAUGCUUGUCUCCGGGCAGCUUCAGGGGAAGGAAGCUGGGGACCCUCUGCAGCCUGGGGGCCACAGAGAAUGACAGGCAGAGGGCAGAAAAAGGCCUGAAGGUGGGCAGUUUGUGCUAACUGGGGGUUCCCUAAUGGAUUUUACUGCUGGCAAACUGGGACCGGUGGCAUCAUCCUGCCCUGCUUUGCAGGGGAUGGGAGGCUGGGGCUGCCCACAGUUAGGGAGUAAAGAGGGGAUCUUAACUCUUCCAUUAGACUGGAGCCAGGCCUGACUGGGAGGCUGGGGGGCUUUGCAUAAGCUUUGGGGACCUGCACUUUAUGCUGGUCUGGCUGGAGAGGGCAGACAGGGAAGUAGGCCAGAGGGAGUCAAAGGCAAGAGGUGAUGUCGCGCUUGAUGCACUGAACUGUGUGCUUAAAAGUGGUUAAGAUGCUAAAUUUUAUGUUAUGUUUAUUUUACCACAAUUUGAGGAUGAGAGGAGAAAGAGAGAGAGAGAGCAAAAGAGACAGAGAGAGAGAGAGAAGAGAGAGAAAAGGAGGGAGGGAGGGAGGGAAGGAUAGUGAGAGAGAAGAAGAGAAUGGGAAUGGCAGGCUGUACCUUCCUGAUUCCCAACUUUCCUCCAAGGACAAGCACAAGUGGCCAGCUUUCACUGACCACAGGCGAGUGAAACAAACGAGGGAACGCCUUGAGUUUUUCUUUCUAUAGGAUUUAUUUCACCCAAAUGCUGACUCUUCAUUCUAGGAUUAUGUUCUUCCUGCUUCAAGGGUGCUCAAUGGCCUUUAGGAAAUGAGGAAUGGGUAAAGGUGGCUCUAUCUUCUUUGAUGGUUUCUAUUGUGUUUUGGGAGCCCUCAUUGGACAAAAUAAAAAGUGGCCAACUCUAUGUUGGUUUUGCUCCCAAUACAGUAUUCUUCCUGAAAAAACAUGCCGUCUGAAAGUUUGGGAACCCGGGAGAUGGUUGGGAGAAGACAGCAGCUUGAGGAUUGCUUAGUGCAGGAGUCCCCGCGGGAGAGAAGAAAAGAGAAAUGGGAAGAGGGACAUUGCGGAAAUUUGUGUCAACUGGGCUCAGGGGAGGCCAGGAGCCUGCCAGCUGUGGCCCUCCCACAAAAAAAAAAAAAAACCCAGGUGCUCACUGGCCCUGCCUUCCCACUAGCCAUUUGGAUACUGUCCAGGGUCUGCAGCUUUCUCUCUUCUGGUUGGUGGGCAGACGUGCCCUGUGCCUCUUUGCAUCUUAAUCCAAUGCAACAAGCAUUCUCCAGCCUGUGUCAGGCUUUGUGCCGGGAGAUUUGGAGUGAGCAAAGCCCAGUCCCUGCCCUCAGGGCGCUUGCAGAUGAAGAAAAGGGUUUGUGCCAUUGAAGAUGCCCAUCUGGAUUGCGGUCAUUGUCCUUGACUUUGCCUAUCUGCCUCUCCAGAGGGGGCAGGCCCACUUCACAGAAACUGGAAGAGUCACACGGGGGAGACAGUGGGAGAGCUCAGGACAGGGCAUGAGAGUGUCUUGCUGCCUCUUGGAGGCCACCAUCAUGACUAUGAACCAUACUGGGCAGAGGAAAUGGGUCAAGGUGGCCAGGGCAGCUGGGCCGGGCAGGGAGAGGACCUGGGCAUGGCAGAAGGAGGGGAAAAUAGACUGACUCGGCCUCAGGAGGUCAGAAGGAUGUUGGGCUGUGCUAAGUCUCAGAACAACACAGCUUGGGAGGCUCCUGGAGGCUUCAAGGUGAGGCCCAAGGCGAAGGCAGUGGAUGUUGAUUGUCAUUUCCAUUACUAGCCCAAUUAUUAGUCUGUCUUCCUGGUAAAAAUAUGUGGUUGGAAAUGCCAAACUGAGAAGCCCAUUUUUCCCCACUGGGGAUUGUCUGGGUUGGCAUGUACAUCCCAGUGACCAACGUGUCCAUGCUCAAGGAUAAUCUCUUGCCCUUUCCUGCCCCCUGACUAGGAUUUCUCCCCAGAGGAGGGGAGCUGAAGGACCCCCCAGGGAGGCUGUGCCUGUGGCUGUCAGCCUGAGAUGCCAGAGGCUUCCUUUGGAUUCUGUAAUCAGAGUAUUUUUCACUGGUGUCUGCAGUGAUCGCCAGGGAGCCUCUGUGUCCAGAGCCCAGUGGGAUCCUGCCCUAAUUCCCUCUCUCAUGGGGACUCAGCCAAUUCUCACCCCCAAUCUGAUUGUCACCAGUCUAGAUCAGCAUUGGAGGGAGGUGUGGGCAACUACAGCCCUUGCUGCUUCCAAGACAGACAUCAAUAGUUGAUUACCAAUCUUUCCCACUCCCUACUCUCCAGCACAAUGGACGUCACAGUCCUCAAAACCACUCCAAGAGCUGCCAAUCAAUCAUAUUCGCAUGUCAGCAAAACCUGUUUGACAUCCGUACACCUGUACCAGCCCUCUGGGAAAGCUCUCAAUUCUGGCCUCCUUUCCUUUUUUCUUUUUUUUUUUUGAAUGUAUGUUAAAAUUAGGAUGUUCCCAAUCAAAAAUCACUUUUCCUUCAUCUAGUACUUGGGUGAGACAAACUAGCCCCAGAAAGCAGACAAUGGGAUGAACUGCCAGGUAGGACUUUUAGGGGAGGCAAAAUGGAUUAGGAAAUGCUAAGUUCUCUGUUGAAGGAGGAUACCUGGAUUUUUUAGGCUUUCAGAGGUGGACGGCUUCCAUAGACUGUCUUGUUCCAACUUUGUACCCAUUUUACAGGUUAGGACUCUGAGCCCUCAGCAGUUCUUGUUUGGCCAGUGAGCUCAGGGAGUUAGUUCCAGGAGUGGGGGUCAGUCUCUGCACCCUCUGGAUGACAGGGUAACAUUGCUCAGCACUAGGCAGGGUUUAGUUGGAACUCCGCUGCUGAUGGGCUGUGUGACCUUGGGCCAGUUCCUUGCCACCUCCCUGCACCUAAUGAUAAGGAGGGAAGUCAGUCCUGGAACGUCUAGUGCUCCUUGAAAUAUUAGGUAUCCUAGGAGGGUGCGGGUGGGCUCACAUCUGGAAGAGAAAUUCCUAGAUUCAGCCACAAGUAACAGAAUCCCUCCUCCCCCGACCAACUUUGGCUUAAACCAAUGAGAGACUUUACUUUUCUCUCCUCCUGAGAAGUCUAGAGAUAGGUGGUUGCUGGCAUCAUCUCCUCAGCUUGUGGAUGUCAGAGCCAAGGCUUUGCAACUCUCUUUCCUUUCUAUCACAGUCACUUCAUGGCCCAGGAUGCUUGCUGUACCUCCAAUUUUUCAUCUGGGUUCCAGGCAGGAAGGAGGGGAGUGAGUUAGAUGAAUCUGCCCUCCUCAUGAGGAGUUUUCCCAGAAGCUCCGCCAGCCACUUCGGUUCUCAUCUCGUUGGCCAGGGUGGUGUCACAUGUUUUCCCCACAUCUGCAAGGAGUCUGGGAACAUGCACCCAAAAAGAUGGGGGCCUUCUAGUAAGAAUGAAGGGUAGGGUGGCUUGGAGUGGGACUUAGCUGUCUCUGCUACAGUUGGAGGAAGAAACCAGGGUUCGUCCUGACCCUCCAUGCCUUGGCCGUAUGCUCCUUAUGCGGAACUUGAAGGCAUCAUCCUUGCAGUGUGAGAGGGACCUGCCACCAUGGCCUGCCACCUCGUCUCAGGGGUCCCUGAGUCCUCCAGGUCUACCCAAAGGCAUUGUAGACAUUCUUCCUGCAAGACUUGGGAACCGACAAAUAGGUCUGCCCUGCUUGCCAGAGUUUUUGUGCAGGAACAGCCCCUCCCGUCUUUGUCCUGGCCGUGAGCACCCAGGGCUAAGCUUUUGAACACUUUCUUUGUGUUUGGAUUCAGCCCAGGCAAUGCAUAUUUGCUUUCAUUUCUUCUUGAGCUUGAGAAGCUCCUGGGUGCAAAUCUUGGAAAAUGAGGAUCUCUGAGCCUUUCCAGGCCAGCCCUUUGUUUUCUAGCAGACAAUUGAGGCUUUGAAAGGGAAAGUGGGUGCGGGCACCCCACAGGUGGCCCUCAUCACCCAAAUGCCAGUGCCUGCAGGCUCCUUCAGCAGAGGCCCAGAGUCAAAGAGGACUUAAAACCAGCUGUCAUUUCUCUCUUAGCUUCUGUGUAUGAGAGAAACGCCUUCUGUUUUUCAAAGUAAGAACAAGGAGGAAUUUGUUUCUAAAAGAACAGUAAAACACAGGCUCGGGGUUUAAAAGCAAAUGGUUCAGCAGGAUGUUCAGGGCCUUAAAAGAGUCAGCAGGACUCAGCAUCUCCCAGUGCCUGCUCUCCAGUUGUCAUGGUAACACCAUCCCCAACCCAACCACCUCGUCCAGCCGGGAGACAGCAAUCACAAGGAGGGACCUCGGUUUCCCCCGAGGAUCCUGGGCUUCCUUUCUGAAACGCUUGCUUCUGAGCUCAGCAACCAGGAACACCUGGCCAGCCCAUCCCCAGCACCUCUGUGGAGAUGAGGGACAAAGUCCUGCAGACCCUCUUCCUGUUCGGAUGAGAAAGGGAGGGAAGGAGACAUACCCCGAGGGCCUGCAAUAUGGUCAUGACACUUUCAAAAAGCCUGUGCUAUGGGGUCAUGAUCAGAAACCAGGUGCAGAAACCAGAGUGCGGAGGGUCAGCAGCCUGCCUCAGAGCAGCCAGCUAGGGGGUGAGUGGUAAAUGCGCGACUUGUACCCAGGCACGACUGGCCCAACGCUCCACUCUAUGGAAUGUUCUCUGGGCCUCAGUUGCUUUCCUUUCCUUUGCAGGCUGCGGGCUGCUGUCACUCUGGCAGCUGGUGAGCCAGCUGGAGGGCGACAUUCCAAAGCAGGGGCAGUAGGGCUUUCCUCCUGUGCCCACUCCCGCGGGGAAGUCUGUUGACUCCUACCGCUGAUGGGAGCUGGCAACAUCAGGAUGAGGUCUCAGGGGAUGGGAGCAGGUACCCGCUGUCUGUCUACCUUCCCACUGGAAAAGCACGGACAGGCCAGCGCUUGGGGGGACAGGCAGAGGGCAGAGUUGGCUUUGCACGGUCUCUGCCUGCUGAGCAGCUCCAAUUCCUCUCAUGGGAGAAACAAGGAGGCAGUCACUUGUGCAUACUCCAGAAGUUUUACUGGGGAGGAGGAAGUGGACAGAGAAAGCUGUGUGUGUGCGUAUGAAGGGGUCGGCGACGUGGGAGGGAUGCACGCGUAUGUGAGCAUAGCAUGUGCGGGUACUACACAUACAUCUCCAUGCAGAAACACCCCUGGGCAGCCUUGGCUUCCAGCAUUGGGCUUCAGCACAACAGACCCCAGCCUGUGGUCUCUCUGAACCCGGGGAGACUGCAUUGGGCUCAGGACGUUUUCCCCGAGGUCCAGAGUUUUAUGCCUCUCCCUGGCAUUCUCCAUAAAGAAGGGAAGGUCAGAUGACCCCUUAGAUCUGUGUCAUCUGGGAAUUGCCUUGGGCUGGUUUAAAAACGAUGCCCUCUCUUUUUCUCAGGAUAGCAGAUAACCUGCUGUGAAAGAGGGCUUAAUUCUAUGGGUCCUAAAUUUUCUCCUUUCUCUCUCUCGUUCUGUGUGUGUGUGUGUUACGAAAAAUGGCAAGUUUCCAAUACCAGCUUUGGAGGAAUGAUUAUGUUUUCCCUCCAUUUCAAGUCCAAAAGACCAGAGCCCUCAUUCCAAAGGGCAUCCACCCAGAUAGAUUUUUUAGUUUCAUUUGUCAUCCCUCCCAUGGGAGGGCCCCAUGUCUCCUCAGAAACCAUCCUGGGCUGGGCGCCGUGGCUCACGCCUGUAAUCCUAGAACUUUGGGAGGCCGAGGCAGGCGGAUCACGAGGUCAGGAGAUCGAGACCAUCCUGGUUAAUACGGUGAAAUCCCGUCUCUACUAAA